rnacentral:RNase_P_RNA from 1 species
GGGUGGGUAACAAGCCGCCGGGUUAACACCUGAGGAAAGUCUCCCCACCACAAACACGCGGCUCAAUUUGCCUAGCAUUUUGAGUUCGAGCAAUCGAAGGCAACAUAACAGAAACGGACCUUGAAGAGGGAGGAGGAUGUGUGACUCCUGCGGCGACGCGGGCAUACGCACGGACGUUCCUCUUCGAUUGGAUGAAACGGACACCCCCGCAGGUGCAAGUGCCUUUGCGCACGCAUAGUUGAAUGCUUGAAUUGGCUGUCCUGAUGGGUCAAACCGUCAUUGGCGUACAUCGUCAAAUAGGAGCCUUACACAAGGGAGCUUAUUCCUGCCC